UCCGUGGUGCGUGCCUGUAGUCCCAGCUACUCGGGAGGCUGAGGUGGGAGGAUCUCUUGAGCCCAGGAGUUCUGGGCUGCAGUGUGCUAUGCCGAUCGGGUGUCCGCACUAAGUUCGGCAUCAAUAUGGUAACCUCCCGGGAGCGGGGGACCACCAGGUUGCCUAAGGAGGGGUGAACCGGCCCAGGUCGGAAACGGAGCAGGUCAAAACUCCCGUGCUGAUCAGCAAGAUUUACAUAAUUGCAGCCCUAUCAUAGUGUGUCUGUCUAUAGCCUGGUCAUAGAGUAUCUGUCUGUA
ensembl:misc_RNA Metazoa_SRP Metazoan signal recognition particle RNA